UUUGGGCCGAAACCCGUAUUCC
rnacentral:snRNA from 1 species